rnacentral:rRNA from 1 species
UACGGGAGGCAGCAGGUGGGGAAUAUUGCACAAUGGGCGCAAGCCUGAUGCAGCCAUGCCGCGUGUAUGAAAAAGGCCUUCGGGUUGUAAAGUACUUUCAGUCGUGAGGAAGGUGUUAAGGUUAAUAACCUUAGCAAUUGACGUUAGCGACAGAAGAAGCACCGGCUAACUCCGUGCCAGCAGCCGCGGUAAUACGGAGGGUGCGAGCGUUAAUCGGAAUUACUGGGCGUAAAGGGCACGCAGGCGGUUAAUUAAGUUGGAUGUGAAAUCCCCGGGCUUAACCUGGGAAUGGCAUUCAAGACUGGUUAGCUAGAGUCUUGUAGAGGGGGUAGGAAUUCCAUGUGUAGCGGUGAAAUGCGUAGAGAUGUGGAGGAAUACCGGUGGCGAAGGCGGCCCCUGGACAAAGACUGACGCUCAUGUGCGAAAGCGUGGGGAGCAAACAGGGAUUAGAUACC